GAGGGUAGAGCUCAGCAGCAGAGCGCAUGCUUAGCAUGUAUGAGGUCCUGGGUUCAACCCCCAGUACCUCCA
rnacentral:tRNA from 1 species